rnacentral:rRNA from 1 species
GGGGGCACGGGGGGAGGAAAGCAGGGGAUCGCAAGACCUCGCGCUAUUGGAUGAGCCGAAGUCGGAUUAGCUAGUUGGUGGGGUAAUGGCCUACCAAGGCGACGAUCCGUAGCUGGUCUGAGAGGACGACCAGCCACACUGGAACUGAGACACGGUCCGGACUCCUACGGGAGGCAGCAGUGGGGAAUAUUGGACAAUGGGGGAAACCCUGAUCCAGCGACGCCGCGUGUGUGAAGAAGGCCUGCGGGUUGUAAAGCACUUUUAGUGGGGACAAAAAGCCAUUGACUAAUACUUGAUGGUCUUGAUUUAACCCAAAGAAAAAGCACCGGCUAACUCUGUGCCAGCAGCCGCGGUAAUACAGAGGGUGCGAGCGUUAAUCGGAAUUACUGGGCGUAAAGCGCGCGUAGACG